rnacentral:rRNA from 1 species
GACGAACGCUGGCGGCGUGCCUAAUACAUGCAAGUCGAGCGAACUUGCGGGAGCUUGCUCCCAAAAGUUAGCGGCGGACGGGUGAGUAACACGUGGGCAACCUGCCUAUAAGACUGGGAUAACUUCGGGAAACCGGAGCUAAAUACCGGGAUAAUUCUUUUCCUCUCAUGAGGAAAAGCUGAAAGACGGUUUCGGCUGUCACUUAUAGAUGGGCCCGCGGCGCAUUAGCUAGUUGGUGAGGUAACGGCUCACCAAGGCAACGAUGCGUAGCCGACCUGAGAGGGUGAUCGGCCACACUGGGACUGAGACACGGCCCAGACUCCUACGGGUGGCUG